GUUCCAUCCUCCUCUUUCCCCCCGUCAGCCCGAGUGAUGGCCGAUCUUAUUGGGCCUAAAGCGUCCGUAGCUGGCUGCGCAAGUCCGUCGGGAAAUCCACUCGCCCAACGAGUGGGCGUCCGACGGAAACUGCACAGCUUGGGACCGGAAGGCUCGAAGGGUACGUUCGGGGUAGGAGUGAAAUCCCAUAAUCCCGCACGGACCACCGAUGGCGAAAGCACUUCGAGAAAACGGAUCCGACAGUGAGGGACGAAAGCCAGGGUCUCCAACCGGAUUAGAUACCCGAGUAGUCC
rnacentral:rRNA from 1 species